UGGGGAAUCUUGGACAAUGGGGGCAACCCUGAUCCAGCCAUGCCGCGUGAGUGAUGAAGGCCUUAGGGUCGUAAAGCUCUUUCGCCUGUGAAGAUAAUGACGGUAGCAGGUAAAGAAACCCCGGCUAACUCCGUGCCAGCAGCCGCGGUAAUACGGAGGGGGUUAGCGUUGUUCGGAAUUACUGGGCGUAAAGCGCACGUAGGCGGACCAGAAAGUUGGGGGUGAAAUCCCGGGGGCUCAACCCCGGAACUGCCUCCAAAACUAUUGGUCUAGAGUUCGAGAGAGGUGAGUGGAAUUCCAAGUGUAGAGGUGAAAUUCGUAGAUAUUUGGAGGAACACCAGUGGCGAAGGCGGCUCACUGGCUCGAUACUGACGCUGAGGUGCGAAAGUGUGGGGAGCAAACAGGAUUAGAUACCCUGGUAGUCCACACCGUAAAACGAUGAAUGCCAGUCGUCGGGUAGCAUGCUAUUCGGUGACACACCUAACGGAUUAAGCAUUCCGCCU
rnacentral:rRNA from 1 species